UGGGGAAUUUUGGACAAUGGGCGAAAGCCUGAUCCAGCAAUGCCGCGUGUGUGAAGAAGGCCUUCGGGUUGUAAAGCACUUUUGUCCGGAAAGAAAUCCUUGGCUCUAAUACAGUCGGGGGAUGACGGUACCGGAAGAAUAAGCACCGGCUAACUACGUGCCAGCAGCCGCGGUAAUACGUAGGGUGCAAGCGUUAAUCGGAAUUACUGGGCGUAAAGCGUGCGCAGGCGGUUUGCUAAGACCGAUGUGAAAUCCCCGGGCUCAACCUGGGAACUGCAUUGGUGACUGGCAGGCUAGAGUAUGGCAGAGGGGGGUAGAAUUAUCCACGUGUAGCAGUGAAAUGCGUAGAGAUGUGGAGGAAUACCGAUGGCGAAGGCAGCCCCCUGGGCCAAUACUGACGCUCAUGCACGAAAGCGUGGGGAGCAAACAGGAUUAGAUACCCUGGUAGUCCACGCCCUAAACGAUGUCAACUAGUUGUUGGGGAUUCAUUUCCUUAGUAACGUAGCUAACGCGUGAAGUUGACCGCCUGGGGAGUACGGUCGCAAGAUUAAAACUUAAAUGAAUUGACGGGGUCAUAGCUGUUUCCU
rnacentral:rRNA from 1 species